rnacentral:rRNA from 1 species
UACGGAGGGAGCUAGCGUUAUUCGGAAUUACUGGGCGUAAAGCGCACGUAGGCGGCUUUGUAAGUUAGAGGUGAAAGCCUGGAGCUCAACUCCAGAAUUGCCUUUAAGACUGCAUCGCUUGAAUCCAGGAGAGGUGAGUGGAAUUCCGAGUGUAGAGGUGAAAUUCGUAGAUAUUCGGAAGAACACCAGUGGCGAAGGCGGCUCACUGGACUGGUAUUGACGCUGAGGUGCGAAAAGCGUGGGGGAGCAAACAGG